GACAGAGGUGCCAAGCGUUAGGCGGAAUCACUGGGCUUAAAGCGUGUGUAGGCGGAUCGUUAAGUACCUUGUGAAAUCCCACGGCUCAACCGUGGAACUGCUCGGUAUACUGGCGGUCUUGAGCCACCUAGGGGCAACUGGAACAAGCGGUGUAGCAGUGAAAUGCGUAGAGAUCGUAAGGAAGACCAGUGGCGAAGGCGGGUCUCUGGACAGUUCCUGACACUGAGGCACGAAGGCCAGGGGAGCAAACGGG
rnacentral:rRNA from 1 species